AUUGAACGCUGGCGGCAGGCCUAAAACAUGCAAGUCGAGCGAGCGGCGGACGGGUGAGUAAUUUUUGGGGAUCUGCCUGAUGGAGGGGGAUAACUACUGGAAACGGUGGCUAAUACCGCAUACUAUCGGAUGAACCCACAUGGGAUUAGCUAGUAGGUGGGGUAAAGGCUCACCUAGGCGACGAUCUCUAGCUGGUAUGGGAGGCUGAUCAGCCACACAGGGACUGAGACACGGCCCAGACUCCUACGGGAGGAAGCAUUGGGGAAUAUUGGACAAUGGGCGCAAGCCUGAUGCAGCCAUGCCGCGUGUAUGAAGAAGGCCUUGGGGUUGUAAAGUACUUUCGUCGAGAAGGCGUUGCCCGCAGAAGAAGCACCGGCUAACUCCGUGCCAGCCGCCACGGUAAUUC
rnacentral:rRNA from 1 species